rnacentral:rRNA from 1 species
GACGAACGCUGGCGGCGCGCCUAACACAUGCAAGUCGAACGAGCGAGAGAGAGCUUGCUUUCUCGAGCGAGUGGCGAACGGGUGAGUAACGCGUGAGGAACCUGCCUCAAAGAGGGGGACAACAGUUGGAAACGACUGCUAAUACCGCAUAAGCCCACGGUGCCGCAUGGCACAGAGGGAAAAGGAGUAAUCCGCUUUGAGAUGGCCUCGCGUCCGAUUAGCUAGUUGGUGAGGUAACGGCCCACCAAGGCGACGAUCGGUAGCCGGACUGAGAGGUUGAACGGCCACAUUGGGACUGAGACACGGCCCAGACUCCUACGGGAGGCAGCAGUGGGGAAUAUUGCACAAUGGGGGAAACCCUGAUGCAGCGACGCCGCAUGGAGGAAGAAGGUCUUUGGAUUGUAAACUCCUGUUGUUGGGGAAGAUAAUGACGGUACCCAACAAGGAAGUGACGGCUAACUACGUGCCAGCAGCCGCGGUAAAACGUAGGUCACAAGCGUUGUCCGGAAUUACUGGGUGUAAAGGGAGCGCAGGCGGGAAGACAAGUUGGAAGUGAAAUCUAUGGGCUCAACCCAUAAACUGCUUUCAAAACUGUUUUUCUUGAGUAGUGCAGAGGUAGGCGGAAUUCCCGGUGUAGCGGUGGAAUGCGUAGAUAUCGGGAGGAACACCAGUGGCGAAGGCGGCCUACUGGGCACCAACUGACGCUGAGGCUCGAAAGUGUGGGUAGCAAACAGGAUUAGAUACCCUGGUAGUCCACACCGUAAACGAUGAUUAUUAGGUGUUGGAGGAUUGACCCCUUCAGUGCCGCAGCUAACACAAUAAGUAAUCCACCUGGGGAGUGCGACCGCAAGGUUGAAACUCAAAGGAAUUGACGGGGGCCCGCACAAGCAGUGGAGUAUGUGGUUUAAUUCGACGCAACGCGAAGAACCUUACCAAGUCUUGACAUCCCUUGACAGGCAUAGAAAUAUGUUUUCUCUUCGGAGCAAGGAGACAGGUGGUGCAUGGUUGUCGUCAGCUCGUGUCGUGAGAUGUUGGGUUAAGUCCCGCAACGAGCGCAACCCUUAUGGUCAGUUACUACGCAAGAGGACUCUGGCCAGACUGCCGUUGACAAAACGGAGGAAGGUGGGGAUGACGUCAAAUCAUCAUGCCCUCUAUGACUUGGGCUACACACGUACUACAAUGGCGUUAAACAAAGAGAAGCAAGACCGCGAGGUGGAGCAAAACUCAGAAACAACGUCCCAGUUCGGACUGCAGGCUGCAACUCGCCUGCACGAAGUCGGAAUUGCUAGUAAUCGUGGAUCAGCAUGCCACGGUGAAUACGUUCCCGGGCCUUGCACU